GUUUUAUUUGCACCAAAUAUAUCAGCACUCCCCUUGGUAAGGUUGGAAAGGGUCCUAGUGACCUUACAACACACCAGUGGUUAAGGUAUUGCUAUUUACUUAGUGCCAUCACAUCAUGUUUGG